AUGGCCACACCUGUGGCAUAUGGAACUUCCUGGGCUAGGGGUUGUAUCAGGGCUGCAGCUUUCAGCCUAGUCACAGCUUGGGGCAAUGCCAGAUCCUUAAUUUGCUGAGCAAGGCUAUGGAUCGAACCUGCAUCCUCAUAGACACUACGUUGGGGUCUUAACCCACUGAGCUACAGUAGGAACUCCCAGCAUAUACACUGCAGGAAAUGUUGCAGUUUUAGUGAAUCUGGUGUUGUAUGUGUGUGUAAGGAAUAAUCAUAAAUUGAAUCAGGGAGCAUGAGGGUCAGAGGGCAGAACAAAGUCAUCCUGUCCCAGCAUCGUAUUCUCCGAAAUGGUAAAGACAGCGUUGGGAAGGAUCAGCUUAGGAAUCCAUCUGAAAUGAAGCUUUGAGAAUAAAGGGAGAAUUGGCUUCCAACUGAAGUGCAGACUCCUUCUCAGUUAUGCCAGUUGUAUGCGGGACCUUCUUGACAUGUAAAGUUAUGCUAAUUUUUCAGGCUAAGUAUACCCUGAUGGCCCAGAGGCAUGAGUAGUGGGAACAGUGAGGAGAGGGGACUUGGGUGGGGCUGGGAAAUUGUGGGCCCCUGAACACACACUACCAGACCCAGCGCCUGAGUUCCAGUUCUGUAGCACAAACUGAAAGUCACUGUGCUUAACUGUAACCAAGAUUCAAGACUCAGGUGUUCCAAAAUGAAGGCUUUUGGGUGGUGCUGAGGUGAUGCGAUGCGGGCCAAGUAUGAAGUUUAUAGAAUACUUGCUGAAAGACUAUUCUGAGUCUAUCAUUUAUACUAUCUGUAGAUGUCUGGUGCAGCUAUGGUAAAAUGUUAAGUGGAAAAGAAGGUGACCAUUGAAGUGACAUCGACAUAGAAAAACAACAGUGGAAAGAAAAAUAAGUAGUGUCAGUGGUUAACGAAUCCGACUAGGAACCAUGAGGUUGCGGGUUCGAUCCCUGGCCUUGCUCAGUGGGUUAAGAAUUUGGUGUUGCCGUGAGCUGUGGUAUACCUCACAGAUGCGGCUGGGAUCCCACAUUGCUGUGGCUGUGGUGUAGGCCAGCGGCUACAGCUCCGAUUGAACCCCUAGCCUGGGAACCUC
ensembl:lncRNA